rnacentral:lncRNA from 1 species
CACCAUUGAUAGCGCCCUUGGCCUAGGGACCCAUAAAGAUGACACAUGACUAGAGCCAUCCCUGAUGCAAAGAUUUAAAUGAGUCCAUAGACAACUUUUAGAUCAGGGUAGAUUGAUUUUAUCGAAUCGUUUCACAGCCUGCGGGGAAAUUAGUAGCUCAUGAGGCUGGCCAUUCAGUCUGUUGUAAGAGAGGCAUCUCCAAGACACCCAUGCAACCUCUGUCAUCCCGUGCACAGAGUGGUUGUCACUAUCUAGACAUUUCAGUUUUCCGUACUAGUCCUGGAUAGCAAAAGAAUGCUUCUAAUUAGAGCCUUUCUGGAAGUUGGCUUCGAUCAGUGGGAGUUGGCAUGUGAAGUGAAACCUAUUUGCCAUUUCUGUUCUAUUGCUUGGUGCUGAAGUUGGCAGUAGCUAUCUAGUAUCUUCAUACAAAUGCUGGGGUGUCACUAUCUCUGAGCUCUACACCCUGCCGCAUAGGAAACUUUUGUGAAUGGCAGAGUGAAAUCCACACACAGGUCAGUAAUGCCCCAAAUGAUUUAAAGGCCAGGAAGGUGAAGACCAUCACACAACUACAGAAUGGGAAUACCAAAGCCGUGACUGGAAAGUGCUUAGUACCAUAACUUGUCCACAAUGAGCCAUCUCAACAUAUUAGCACCCUCUGUUCUUGCCUAAUACUGAGAUUUUUCUCAUACACCUAUUUAGACUUUUGCUCUGUGUGGAGUUCUGCUGAUUCUGCUACUCUUGGUGUACAUUUUCACGUUCUUUCCCGUCGUGGCGCAGUGGUUAAGGAAUCCGACUAGGAACCAUGAGGUUGCAGGUUCGGUCCCUGCCUUUGCUCAGUGGGUUGACGAUCCGGCGUUGCCGUGAGCUGUGGUGCAGGUUGCAGAUGCGGCUCGGAUCACGCGUUGCUGUGGCUCUGGGGUAGGCUGGUGGCUACGGCUCUGAUUAGACCCCUAGCCUGGAAAUCUCCAUAUGCCGCGGGAGCGGCCCAAGAAGUAGCAAAAAGACAAAAGAAAAAAAAAUUAUGGUGUUUGGUCAAUUGUACAAGUUCGGCAUUUCAUGAAUAAGUGGGUGGAUGAUUAUGCAGACAGAGGUUUUAAAAGGUCUUUUUUUAAAGCUUUAUUACUGCCUGACCCUCUUUCCACCCUGACCAUCCUCCCCAUAUACGUGCAGAAAUCAGAAGUUGAAGAGGAAUCAAGAAAAUGAACUCCCCUCUCCUUCUUCUGGCCAUCUUGUUACUUCUUUUGAAGAAUCUUCUCUAAUAUCCUACCUCCCACUCUACCAUCCUCCUCUGUCCUUCUCUUUGCUCCUUAGGUUCUCUCUCUUCUCCUUUAUUCCCUCUUUUCUUCCUCAAACCAACCCCCCAUCAUCUGCCACCUCAGGGUUGGUCCCCCCUCAUGCCUACCCUUUGCUUCAGUGCUUGAUUAAAUCAGGGCACAUACUCUCUCCCGGGUCGGUUCUUUCUCUUACACUCCAGGAGUCACAUCUCAGUGUGAAAAGAGAGACUUGGAAGAAGAGUACAGACUGUCUGAAGAAGCCACACAGCGGGGAGGAGGUGUAGGAAUGGGAGCCCCACUCUGUGUAUCCCUCAGUCCCUCUCCUUUAAAUACGGCUCCUAGUCACAAGUGUGGGUUGUUGCUAUGAAUCAUCAGCAAGCGUUGUUUUCUGUGGCCUCUUCUGACAAAAGUCAGGAGACAUCCUUGGAGAAAACUGCAGUGAGGACUGGAUUCUAUACUUUGACAAGGCUGACCUUGCAAGGGAGCCAGGUGAACAAGUGUUUUCAUUUUCAUUGUAAUUUAAGGAGCCCUGGACAAGAGUAUUUUUCCCCAAAUUCGACUUUUUACAAUUACUAUUUACUACUUUAGAGCAAAAAGCUCUUUUUUAUUUUUAUUUUUUGUAUAUGUAAGAAGCUGCAAAUAACAUAUUGUUAGAUAUUACUUGCAUAUAGGCUUAUUAUUAGCCAGACACUUUAGUUCACUAUCCAGAGAGACAGAGGGGAACUCUAUGCCUUUUAGAGCAGGGGAAGAUACUGUCAAGAGUUGAUAUGGAAGCCAACAUAGAAGUGACUAAAACUAUGGCCUGACUUUGCUAGUUGCAAAAUGAUUGGCCCUACCCUUCAGCCAGCAUAAGAGACAUGCAAAUCUGAUAGUCAGGUGUGUACCCAAAAGCUAGGUUAUAGCCAGGAUUAUAUAAAUGAAUAAGUAUUUGGAAGAGAUUCAGCACAGAAUGUUUAAAUAUUGGACUCUGUCACCCAUCCUCUUCUUGACUUUGAAGAACAAGAAUAGACAAUAUGGUAGAGGUCUAUGACUGCAAAUUAGCAGUUGAGGUAGUUCUCUCACCAGGGUGAUUUUAAAAUGAGAUUAGAUUUAAGGGAGAUAUAGUCAAACCUUAAUGCUGAAUGUGUCAUUUUGACCAUUUAUUGAAAUGCAACCCUCUUGACCUCUGGGUUACCAAUUACGUGUGGGAUUUGGAGGGAUCAUUAGUGUAAGAGAGGGACGUUUUUAUUUGGAGUCAGGGCGCAGCUAUUCUUAACUUAGUGUCAUCUCUGUGGGAGAGUUCUUACUGGUCAAAAAAAUCUCUAAAUUCAUUGAUUUCCUAAAAUGUCAAGCGAAAUAUUUUGCAGACUUUGGGAAUCCCAAAACUGUCCGCUCUCUCUGCUCAGUGGUUUUGAUAUAAUAUACCAGUGAAAGUAGCCCACUUCUACUCAGGAGGAGUUAUUAAGAAGAUAGGUUUGGGGGGAAGGAAAAAUUGGGGUGGGGGGAGCUAUAAAAAAAAAAAUUCAACCUUAGGGUAUCAGGCACUGGCAGACAUUAUGGCUGGGUUUGAAAUGUGUUUGAUGAUACAAAGGCCAGAGCCAGUUAGGCUGUGCAAACAGAAGCCAGGUGCUUCAAUGAAGGAAAGAAAUUUAAUUGCAGUUGCUGCAAAUGUGUGUCUCCUCAUUUGAGUGACUGGUGCAGGAUAGUUCUCAGCCUGGUGCAGAAAAAGGCACUCAGCUCUGGGAGUCAGCACAGCUGAGGUCUGAAGGAAGAUUGACACAGCUGGCCUGGGGAACCUCAGCCUAGUCCCUCCCCGCUCUGGGCCACAGCUUCCCAAUGAAUAAAAUGGAGAUAAUGAUGUCUGUCCCUCUGCCACACACGGGUGUUUUAAAGCAAUGGAGGUUUAAGAGCUGGGGAAAGAAUGGACCAAAUUUAAAGUUCUGUGCAUGGUUUGUAUAGCUGGUAUCCAAUUCUGAGCAUCGGAAAUGUUAUAGAAAAUGAUGCUAAUAAAACCCAUAAAGAUCAGAAGUCCAAGUACCAAGAGCAAUUGGCGAAGUAUAAAUGGCACCCUGUUCCUAUUUUCUUUUCUAUAAACUCAGGCAGGCCUGAGGCUGUGUCUUUUGGUUAUUUUAUCUGUUCCAUCUACAUGGCUUCAAAAGUGAUUCCCCAAAAUGGUUGAUCCGUGAGUAGACCAGUCUUGGACACAGGGACAAGGCUUAGGAGUCAUCACCUGCCUAUUUUCAAGUGGAAAAGGAAAAAUAUCUCACAGCCCAUUCAUGUGCUAUAAUGCCAGUAUAAAUUGUGAAUCAAUGGAAAUAAAUGUUCCAGCCUCUUCUUUGACACGAUCUGUGAAUGGGGAUAUUUAGGAGAAUUGAAAGAAUUAAACAUAAUGUGACCUAUACCACAAAGAAAGAGUGAAGCUUCUUUUAAGUGCUUUCAGUUUGUGUCAAAAUGUGAUUCCCAUGUGAGAUCAAAUGUGCAAGAGGUUUGGGGAAACAUACUUGUAAAUUAUAAGGAGAGGGGGAACAGGCGAAGCUUGAGAGAGCCUCAGAGAAAGUUUCAGCCAGGCUGAUGUGGGAUCCCUGAACAAAGUCCUUUAAAGGAGUCCCACUUUGGGAAGGAAUGACCUUGCUCUAGUAACUCUACCAUGUGCAGUAUAAAUGCCAUAGUGGCUUUAAGGUAGUGACAAUUAUUAACUGUCAGUCAGUUGUUCUUUUUGCAGCAGGUUCUUCUAAAGGAGAUCUGAGUAGGGCACUUCCAUGGUCACCAUAGACAUUACUGUUACACCCCAUCUUAUACUCGGGGACCUAUGUUGUCACCUCCACAUACCUCUAGCUUCAGUUGCCCUUGCUUUGUAUCCAAGUCAUGUACUACUGGUUCAUUAAUCCAGUCAACUGGGCAUUCACCAAAUACUCCCUCUUCACACCAACCACCACUGCUCUUGGAUUUUUGCAAAAUAUCAGACCCUAUGCUAACUGACAAUAUCAGCUUAUCCUUACCACAACUCUUUGAUGGAACUACCAUGAACAUCUCCAUUCUGCAGAUGAAACGCAGCAUAAAUAACUGUGGUCACAUAGCUGUAAGUGGUGAAUAUUCCAUUCAGACCCCAGUCAGCCUGGUCACCUAGCUACUCCUGCAGUACCACCCUUUCCGGGCACAUCUCCUGAGGGCCUCUAGUAACCUAGGUGCUAUGCUAGGUGCUGGGGAUUUUGUCCUUACAUGGUGGACCACCAGUCGCAAGGAGAUCAUUCUGGAAGCAGAACCAAGAUGUAAACCAAAAAUUAUGAUUCAGCUCAGUGUGAAAAGUUCCCAGAGCACAGAGAUAAACUGGAGCUUAGCCUUGAAGGAUGAGCAUUUGUACUAGUCUGAUCAAAGGAAGGAGAGAAAUCUACAUAGAC